UGCUGAGGAACGUGGGGGGCAGUUCUGGAGCGAGGGGGGCAAUUCUGAGGGGGCGAGGGGGGUCUGGAGUGAGGGGCGGUUCUGAGGGGUCAGGAGGCGGAUCUGGAGUGAGGGGGCAAUUCUGAGGGGGUAGGGGGCAACUCUGAGGGGGCAGUUCUGAGGGGCCAGGGGGCAGUUCUGGAGUGAGGGGGCAAUACUGAAGGGCCAGGGGGUGGUUCUGGAGUGAGGGAGCGGUUCUGAGGGGGCAGUUCUGAGGGAUGUGGGGGACAGUUCUGGAGUGAGGGGGACAGUUCUGAGAGGUGUGAUCCCCCGGGGGGGCAUUCUGGGUGUAUGAAGGGCUGGGCGGUCUCCACCAGGGGAUGAGGAAUGGGGGCAGCCCCACAAGGGGGCAGUCCAUGGAGGAGAAGGGUACGGGGCUGAAGGAAGAGUCCCUGGGGGAGAGGGGGGUUUGGGAUACGGAGCGGGGAAAGUCAGGUGCAGUGAGGGGCUGCACAGAGGGGGUACACAGAGAGCUGGGGCUCCAUGCUCUUACUAAGAGGGCUCCCCACAUCCCAAGGACACUGCUAUCCCAGGAUAAUCAGCCCGGAGGAACAGGGCCACUGCUGACACAGGGCUGCUCCCCCAGCACCGCAGGCAUUGUCCUGCUUGGACAAGCAGCUCCUCUGCGACCGAUCCCACCACCUGGUCCCUCAUGUCUUGGUGUGCGACUGCCAUGACACCACGGCAACCCUGAUCCCGCAGGGUCAGAGCUGCCUUUCCAUGCCAGGCAGAGAGGCCAAAAGCACGAUGGCUGGCACCAGGACUUAUUUUGCCUCUGGGGUUCAAGAGGAGGCUCACGGUGCAUUCUAGAGUGCCCUGGAAGGCCUCCAGGACAUCCUAGAGGAAACUGGAGGUCACUGGGAGGAUUUCCGGGGGAGCUAGAGGGCACUGGGUGGCCCUGGUAGACCUGCGGAGGACCUAGAGUGCAGCAGAGGACCACAGGAGGCCUCCAGUGUGCUUAGGCGUGCACUAGGGAGCCCUGUGAGGCCUUCAGAGGCCACUAUAUUCCAGAAAGAGUAUUAUUUUGCCUCUAGGGUGCAAGAGGUUUCUCAUACGGCACCCUAAAUUGCCCUGGGCCUGCUGUUGACCCACUAGGGGGCAACAGCAGGCUCGCAAGAUGCCCUAGAAUGCCCUGGAAGGCAUCCUAGAGGAAGAAGGGGGUCACUGUGAGGCUGGGUGCUGUAUGAGCCCCCUCUUGCACCCUAGAGGCAUCAUAAGCACUCUUCCAGGAAUCUAGAGGCCUUGCAGGACUCCCUAGUGCACUCUUGGGCACACUGGAGGCCUCCUGUGGUCCUCCUCUGCACUCUAGAUGCUGGGUAGUUCUACCUGGGUCACCCAGUGCCCUCUAGCUCCUCCAGAAAGCCUCCCAGUGACCCCCAGUUUCCUUUAGGACGCCCUAGAGGCCUCCCAGGGCACUCUAGGGUGCCCUAGAAGCAACCUCUUGAAUCCUAGAGGCAAAACAAGGACUCUUCCUGGAAUCUAGAAUCCUCUGGAGGCCUCGCAGGGAUCUCUGGAGCACUCUCAAGCACAAUGGAGGCCUCCUGUGGUCCUCUGCUGCACUCUAGAUCUUCCGUAGGCUGCCCUAGGAGCAACCUCUUGAAUCCAAGAGGCAAAAUAAGAACUCUACCUAAAAUCUAGAAGCCUCUAGGGUGUCCUAGAAGCCUGCUGUUGAACCCUCAAGGCAAUGUAAGGACACGUCCAGCAAUCUAGUGGUCUAACACUAAUUAUGACAUGUACGUCACCAGUUUCUCCCAUCAAAAAGUGAUCCCAAAAGAAGCCUUUGGUACACCUGAACUCCCUUGGGGAGCCUUUACGCAACCCCACACACAGCAGGGCUCUGCGCCUUCUCUCUUUCCAAACAACCCUAACUGGAACACUAAGCCCGACCCUAAAAAAAAAAUGUAUGGUGACGCUUUCUCCCAUCAAAAAGUGCUCCCGACGGAGGCCUUUGGGUACACCUGUGCUCCCUUUGGGAGCCUUUAUGCAACCCUUCAGCGCCUCGAGGUGCAUGUGCAUGUGAGAGCAAAUGCGUGGUCCUUGAUUCAACAUGCUCGGGAAGGCAGUGCGCUGUCUUCCCCUUCUGUUUUGCGUGCCUUUGCCAUACCAUUUUGUUACUGCACAAAGACAUGCUGGUUGCAUUGCUUCAAAGCUUUGAGACCCUCGUAUAGCCGAGGGAUCUCCCAUAUUAAUAGCUGUGGCCAGUGCUGUGGCACAUCACUGCGGUAUUGUUACAUCACUAGUUUGGACCGAGAGCUUCCGACCUGGUUUUGUAUCACAUUAUCAAAUACCUGUUUCUGCUGCAUAACAUACCAGCAGGUUUGUGCUGCAUUUUUUUUUUUUAAAGCUGUGUUACACUAAAUGGGGAAUCUCCCCUAACCACAGCUAUGCUGGGGUUCAGAGCUGGCCGUCGUAAUUGUCCCUUCUGGCAUCUAAUCUGUGCAUGCAGGAACGCGUAGGAGACUUCAGAGGGACGUUGCUUGUUCUUGUGAAAUAUUUCUAGUAUUACUGAUAACUGAGCAUUGCAUACAGACAUAGUCGCUUUCAAAAACACCGCGUCGGUUUUGCAUUCACACCAUUUGCUCAGCAUGCCACAGACUCACACCCCCCCUUGAUGGCCGAGCUGCUUCCAUGCAGUUCAGUGUCGCCUUUUUUUUUUUUUUUUUAAAUUCACAAACACAACGUCCAGAUGCCUGGAUGGUGCCUGCGCGAAGCCUGCUGGUUCCCACUCAGUCCUGCUCUGGUUUCAUCUGCCUUGUACAGGCCAUAAACAUUAGAGGGAGCUGCAGACUACUGCAUGUCCCUGUGCGCAGCUGGAAGGUUGGACACUUCAUGGUCGCAUGGAGCCUCGUCCGGGGCAGGUGGCACUGGCUGGUCCCCUGCCCACCAUGCUGGCUGUGCCGCAGCUAAUUAGAGCUUAUGUAUUUGGCACGUGAUUAAAUGAAUGAAAAAUGA